UGCUUCUCCGCUGUGAUCUCCUCCCUCGCUAUUAUCUUCAAACUGAGACAUUGUGGACCUUGAUGAAAUGCCCAGUGUCAUCUUUAUCAGCCCCAAUUUCUCUUUGUUUCAGUUGACCCUCCAAAUGUGAUAGGAGAGGAAGGAAAGGAAGAAGUGGAAUGUUUGGAAGGAGACGACAACGCACUGACAGUUGCUGCCUUCGCCAUUCUGUUUAUUCUAAGUUUCCUCUACAGCACCUUUGUUACUGUUGUCAAGGUGCAGCAGUGACCAGCAGAUACGUAUGGCUCACAUUCAGACUUACACAAGAUGUGAAUUGUCCAGAGAUAUCCCUGUGAUGUUUGGGAAUGGAGCUUUCCAUCGCACACUGGAAAAUACUCAGCUACUGCACUGCAACAGCUCAUUCUGGGAGAUAAAACUUCAAAUGGACUGGGGAAGAUUGGGAAGGGGAAUUGGGAUGGGAGGGGUGAGCUUGGAAGAAGAGAGGGGAGCGGGAAUAACGAGCAGGGGAGAUGGGAAUGGGGGAGUCGGGAAAGGGGAGUCAGGAGGGAGUAUGAGUAUGGGAAGGAGGGAAGAGAUGAUUCUCUGGGUUUUGUCUAAAGUAUUCUUAAAAAAAAUGUUCAGAUUACUGCCUGCAGCUUUUUCAAAAAUGUUUUCACUGAUAUUAAAGAUUUGGUCUGAAAUUAAAUCAAUAAAAAAUGAAAACAUGAAAUGAAA